UUAACACAUGCAAGUCGAGCGAAGCGAAUCUUCGGAAGUUUUCGGAUGGAAGAGGAUUUGACUUAGCGGCGGACGGGUGAGUAACGCGUGGGUAACCUGCCUUACACUGGGGGAUAACAGUUAGAAAUGACUGCUAAUACCGCAUAAGCGCACAGGGCCGCAUGGUCUGGUGUGAAAAACUCCGGUGGUGUAAGAUGGACCCGCGUCUGAUUAGGUAGUUGGUGGGGUAACGGCCCACCAAGCCGACGAUCAGUAGCCGACCUGAGAGGGUGACCGGCCACAUUGGGACUGAGACACGGCCCAAACUCCUACGGGAGGCAGCAGUGGGGAAUAUUGGACAAUGGGCGAAAGCCUGAUCCAGCGACGCCGCGUGAGUGAAGAAGUAUUUCGGUAUGUAAAGCUCUAUCAGCAGGGAAGAAAAUGACGGUACCUGACUAAGAAGCCCCGGCUAACUACGUGCCAGCAGCCGCGGUAAUACGUAGGGGGCAAGCGUUAUCCGGAUUUACUGGGUGUAAAGGGAGCGUAGACGGUUUAGCAAGUCUGAAGUGAAAGCCCGGGGCUCAACCCCGGUACUGCUUUGGAAACUGUUAGACUUGAGUGCAGGAGAGGUAAGUGGAAUUCCUAGUGUAGCGGUGAAAUGCGUAGAUAUUAGGAGGAACACCAGUGGCGAAGGCGGCUUACUGGACUGUAACUGACGUUGAGGCUCG
rnacentral:rRNA from 1 species